ensembl:lncRNA
AUGAUUGGAGAAAAACAAAACGAAAAGAACAGAACCCAAAGCAUAAAAAGAAACAGGCAUUCACACAACUUAUUACAGUGUUGCACCAACAUGUUCUGUUUUAAAUUCCCCAUGUUAAUGAAAAGCCAUCGACACAAAGCCCUUCAGCGUUGGUCGACAGAACGCGGAACACGUGGUGGUUCUAUCGACAGAACCCCGCUGACCGAGCUCAGUAUGCGGUCCCGUGACGUCGUCACCGGGCCGGGCCGUUCCGUCCCGCGACAACAAUGUCUGGCCGCUAAGUUAGCUCGUGAGCUAGCCGCGCCUAGCGGACCAAAUGACGUGGCGGGAGAAAACCCCGGUUUGCUUCGUGCCCGCGACCGAGCCGCCUCGCGGGGGGAGACACGAGUCCGACGUGAGCCGCGUCGGACACCGCGAAGACGCGUCGGGCGGCCGGAUAACGAUUCAUUGAGACGCCGUGUGAGGAGCGCCGUCUUUCUUUGUCAACACGCUCGGUGGAAGUGACUCUCACGUCCCACAACUCGCCAGCAGCGUCUCGGGCCUUCGCACCUCGUCUCUCGCAUGUCCGCCAACACACCGGGAUUAACACACAACCAAUACACAGACGGAUCCGCCGCCAAGCGCUUCGCCUCAUUCGCUCCAGACCGGCGGCUAAUUGAGGAGAUUCAUUUGCAGUGGUACGGUGGCCUGGUGUCAUAUCGUUGUUAAUAAUCGAUGAGCACGCGUCACACUUGUCACGUAGAGUGCUUCCCACUCACCAGCUUGUUAUCGAGAGCUUCCUACGAACGAGGCCAAGCGGUGUCGGGCUGCAGCAGGACGGGCCCGUUGCGUCGGGCUUCUUUGCCCGCCCCCGCGGCGCUGGAAAACGCUUCAGCCGCUGUCGUGCUGGGUUUUGGUGCCGUAUUGGUUUGUGACAAGACGUGUGGAUUACAGUUUAACCCCCCCCCCCCCAAAUCAGUUGUGGGUGGAAAAAGUGGGGCUCCAACUUCACACCAUCAAUAUUCACAGAAGUGCUGCUCUUAACGUUAGUGGCACUUCUCUUUGAAGCGGUUCAAGAUGUUUCUCACUAUUAAUUCAAACAACCUGCCAUCUUUUUAACAGACAAGUGUUGAUUGUCACAUCAAUAUAAUACAACGUCUAUUUUCCAGAUAUGGGCUCUUAAAAAUUCUGAACCGCU